rnacentral:lncRNA from 1 species
GGCCUGGCAGCUGCCAACAAUGAUGCACUGGUGUGUGUCAGAGAUGUGACCUGAGCCACCCAGAGACAGAGACUGGAGACAUGCUGAGUGACACAGUGACAACUGGCCUUGUAAGGUGCUAAGUCCUGAGAAUAUGGAAUGAAGAGUUACUGCCAUGGCCUUUGACAGCAUUGUGUAGUUGGGAAGGCCCAUCUCACACAGAGAAUGACACAGGAAUGACACAGGAAAAGCAACAGCCACCAACCGUACCCAAGGAGGACUGAGAGACCUGGUGUGACCCACAGCUGCAACAUUGUAGUCAUAUUGUCAACAUGGAUACCUGGCUCCAGGAGGCAGCACCAAGAGGCCAUCAGAGAAAUCUCAACCUUGGGAUUUGGGGGAAAGAGAAAUAGUGAAAGGAGAUGCUGAACUGUCUGAGGCGAUCCUGUGAUCAAACACUGUACUUCAAAAAUCGGCACAUUGUUCUUUGAAGCUCAGGCUCAUGGUCUUCCAACACAAUUAAUUGGAAUAACAGCACAAAAGAUGACUAAAAGUGGAAAAAAAAUCCCAGUGUGCCUGGUCUGCUUUGGGAAUUCCUCAUCUGCCCAACACUGUGGAACAUUGGGAUGCUGUACACAGAAGCCUUUGCCAACUGGAGCUGCAAAUCAUAGAUACACAAGCCAAUUCCAAGCUGAAGCAUUUGUAAGG